UAACCGGGAGAAGUGCAUCGGAAACUGGGAGACUUGAGUGCAGAAGAGGACAGUGGAACUCCAUGUGUAGCGGUGGAAUGCGUAGAUAUAUGGAAGAACACCAGUGGCGAAAGGCGGCUGUCUAGUCUGUAACUGACGCUGAGGCUCGAAAAGCAUGGGUAGCGAACAGGAUUAGAUACCCUGGUAGUCCAUGCCGUAAACGAUGAGUGCUAAGUGUUGGAGGGUUUCCGCCCUUCAGUGCUGCAGCUAACGCAUUAAGCACUCCGCCUGGGGAGUACGACCGCAAGGUUGAAACUCAAAGGAAUUGACGGGGGCCCGCACAAGCGGUGGAGCAUGUGGUUUAAUUCGAAGCUACGCGAAGAACCUUACCAGGUCUUGACAUCUUCUGCCAAUCUUAGAGAUAAGACGUUCCCUUCGGGGACAGAAUGACAGGUGGUGCAUGGUUGUCGUCAGCUCGUGUCGUGAGAUGUUGGGUUAAGUCCCGCAACGAGCGCAACCCUUAUUAUCAGUUGCCAGCAUUCAGUUGGGCACUCUGGUGAGACUGCCGGUGACAAACCGGAGGAAGGUGGGGAUGACGUCAAAUCAUCAUGCCCCUUAUGACCUGGGCUACACACGUGCUACAAUGGACGGUACAACGAGUCGCGAAGUCGUGAGGCUAAGCUAAUCUCUUAAAGCCGUUCUCAGUUCGGAUUGUAGGCUGCAACUCGCCUACAUGAAGUUGGAAUCGCUAGUAAUCGCGGAUCAGCAUGCCGCGGUGAAUACGUUCCCGGGCCUUGUACACACCGCCCGUCACACCAUGAGAGUUUGUAACACCCAAAGCCGGUGAGAUAACCUUCGGGA
rnacentral:rRNA from 2 species